rnacentral:lncRNA from 10 species
UCCUAUGGAUCACUUGGCCUGGUUUGGAAUAGUUCACCAGUGAAGUCAUCUCAACCAGCACAGGGCCUUGACUCCUAACAACAAUCACACGAACUUGGAAGAGGAUCCUUCCCCAGCUGAAACUUCACUUGAGACCUUCUCAUUGGCCAUCAUCGACAUCUGGAUUCAUGAUACAGAGAAACUUGAGUAAUGAUGACAAUAGCAGUCCAGCCUGCAUGGAUGCUGACAUGGAUGCUGUCUCCCAUUCUUACCACUGGAUGUCAAGAACUGCUAGAUGCGAUCCAGCCAGUCUGUACUCGACUCUCAGUUCCAUCUUCUCAACUCACAGUGUCUUCCAAAGUCCAUGCCACACCACAGCCUGGAAGAUCUCCCAAGGUGGUAUCUUGAGGCAAUGGUAGAGCUCAUGUCACAGUAUUGUAUGCCUCAGGCUUUGAAUAACUCACCAGUGAAGUCAUCUUGACCUGGACAGAAAUUGAAUCCUCCCAAGAAUCCCAGGAGCUUGGAAGGGGAUCCUUCCCCAGAUGAGCCUUCCCUUGAAAUCUCUGCCAGGCAUCUGACCCAGAGAAACU